rnacentral:rRNA from 1 species
AACAGGGAUUGCCCUAGUAACGGCGAGUGAAGCGGCAACAGCUCAAAUUUGAAAUCUGGCCUCGGCCCGAGUUGUAAUUUGCAGAGGAUGCUUUUGGCGCGGUGCCUUCCGAGUUCCCUGGAACGGGACGCCACAGAGGGUGAGAGCCCCGUAUGGUUGGACACCUAGCCUGUGUAAAGCUCCUUCGACGAGUCGAGUAGUUUGGGAAUGCUGCUCAAAAUGGGAGGUAAAUCUCUUCUAAAGCUAAAUACCGGCCAGAGACCGAUAGCGCACAAGUAGAGUGAUCGAAAGAUGAAAAGCACCUUGAAAAGGGGGUUAAACAGUACGUGAAAUUGUUGAAAGGGAAGCGCUUGUGACCAGACUUGCGCCGGGCGGCUCAUCCGGGGUUCUCCCCGGUGCACUCCGCCCGGCUCAGGCCAGCAUCGGUUCUCGUGGGGGGAUAAGACUGGUGGGAACGUAGCACCCUCCGGGGUGUGUUAUAGCCCGCCUGACGAUACCCCCGUGGGGACCGAGGUUCGCGCUCCGCAAGGAUGCUGGCGUAAUGGUCAUCAGCGACCCGUCUUGAAACACGGACCAAGGAGUCGUCCAUUAUAGCGAGCGUUUGGGUGUAAAACCCGCACGCGUAAUGAAAGUGAAAUUAGGUGAGAGCUUCGGCGCAUCAUCGACCGAUCCUGAUGUUCUCGGAUGGAUUUGAGUAAGAGUUAUAACGGACGGACCCGAAAGACAGUGAACUAUGCUUGUAUAGGGUGAAGCCAGAGGAAACUCUGGUGGAGGCUCGCAGCGGUUCUGACGUGCAAAUCGAUCGUCAAAUAUGAGCAUGGGGGCGAAAGACUAAUCGAACUGUCUAGUAGCUGGU